rnacentral:rRNA from 1 species
GAUGAACGCUGGCGGCGUGCCUAAUACAUGCAAGUCGAGCGAACAGACGAGGAGCUUGCUCCUCUGAUGUUAGCGGCGGACGGGUGAGUAACACGUGGAUAACCUACCUAUAAGACUGGGAUAACUUCGGGAAACCGGAGCUAAUACCGGAUAACAUGUUGAACCGCAUGGUUCAACAGUGAAAGACGGUCUUGCUGUCACUUAUAUAUGGAUCCGCGCCGCAUUAGCUAGGUGGUAAGGUAACGGCUUACCAAGGCAACGAUGCGUAGCCGACCUGAGAGGGUGAUCGGCCACACUGGAACUGAGACACGGUCCAGACGCCUACGGGAGGCAGCAGUAGGGAAUAUUCCGCAAUGGGCGAAAGCCUGACGGAGCAACGCCGCGUGAGUGAAGAAGGUCUAAGGAGCGUAAAACUCUGUUAUUAGGGAAGAACAAAUGUGUAAGUAACUAUGCACGUAUUGACGGUAACUAAUCAGAAAGCCACGGCUAACUACGUG